rnacentral:rRNA from 1 species
CCUACGGGUGGCUGCAGUGGGGGAUAUUGCACAAUGGGGGAAACCCUGAUGCAGCGACGCCGCGUGAGUGAAGAAGGAUUUCGGUAUGUAAAGCUCUAUCAGCAGGGAAGAAAAUGACAGUACCUGACCAAGAAGCCCCGGCGAAACACGUACCAGCAGCCGAGGUACUACGUAGGGGGCCAGCGUUAUCCGGAUUUACUGGGUGUAAGGGGAGCGUAGACGGUUAUGUAAGUGUGGAGUGAAAGCCCGGGGCCCAACCCCGGGACUGCCUUUGAAACUGUGUAACUGGAGUACGGGAGGGGCAGGCGGAAUUCCUGGUGUAGCGGUGAAAUGCGUAGAUAUCAGGAGGAACACCGGCGGCGAAGGCGGCCUGCUGGACUGACACUGACGUUGAGGCUCGAAAGCGUGGGGAGCAAACAGGAUUAGAUACCCCUGUAGUC